UUACUUCACCCUCCCCUUUUUUUCCUCAUCCUCUCUAGAUACGCAUCUCACACCUUUUUGCUAUCACGCGCCCGUGCACGUGGUGCAGGAAGGAGGUGCGUGUCAUCACCCCCCUCUAAGUACGAUUCUGACAAGACUAAAGGAGGCUGAGAUGAAUGGAAACAUCACUUUCAUUAAUGACAUCCUGCUUGUUGAGCUUCCAGCACAGAUCAGCACAUGCAGAGCUGGAGAGGUAUCUGGGAUAGGUUGCCAUGACAACUAGGAAGCGACUUUUUUGUAUGUGUUUCAGGAUAUUUUUUCUGCUUUUUUUUUAAAUGUGCAUUUGAUCAUUUAUCUUUGUGAUUGAGCAAAAAGCUGAAGAUAAUGCUCUUGUCUGCAGCAGCUGCAGACAAACAGGGAUGAAGGUCACAGUUUGAACCAUCCUUCCAGCAGGACGUUAGCUUUUGCAUUUCAACAUGUAGGCAACAGAGGAUGUUCUCCCUCUCUUCUUUUCCUUUUCCUCUGUCUGUCUCUAAACAGUCUGCUCUAUAAUUAUUUCCAUGGUUACCGUUUAAGAUGGUAAGCUAAGCCUGAUGAACUAUGUGGUACUAAUCUUUUUUUUUCCCUCCACAGCCUGCAUUAUUUUCUCUCAUCUGUCGCUUCUUCUUCUUGUUCUUCUUCUUCUCCAUCUCGUGCUGCGUUCCUGCAAACAUUUCAUCAGCUUUCUUAUCAGCUUAAAACCAACACUUGAUUUAAGAAGCUCACGCAGCUCCAGCGCUCACGCCUGUAAUCCCAAUGUAAACAAGUCAAGACCAUCAAGCUUGUCCCAAAAGCAUCAAUCACAUCUGGCUGUUGUCAGGGUGGACGCCGUGGGAGGUCGCACCAAGCUGGCAGCUUCAGAUUCUGAUGCACAUCGUCAUUCGUGGGAACACAUCUGAUUCUGAAGCAUUAAAGCAGGGAGGGAAAAUAACUGCCACUUUACCACAUCUCUUGGUGCAAACCAGUUUGAAAACUCCCUUUGUUUCAACAUUCACAAGUUUGGUUUUUCCUGCGUGUCAGCUCACACAUUUGUGCAAAAAUGAAAAGGUCUGUUUCUCCACAAAACAAAGCUUGUAAAGAUGGCUGUCGAAGACAGUCAUGAAUCAUUACAAAGUGUGCCAAUGAAUAUUUGAAGGCUGAGCAAAUAUCAAAAAUGGAAAAUGAAAAGAGUAGCUUGACAUUUAGUAACAAAAGCCUUUACUUCAGCACAACAACAUGUUCAGCAGAAUCUAGCUGCAGAACACUUCUGCUUAAGGAAAGAAAGGUUGUGAAAUAGUGGGAACCUGUUUUAUGGAAUAAUAAAUGUCAUCACGUGUGUUAAAUAUGUAUCAAAUGUCGAGAUUAUAAAUCAAAACUGAACCAUAUGAUACAACAUUGAACCAAAUCAUGGAAAAAGUGAAACGUUGCAUCACUGUAUAUGUUGAAUUGAUUAAUUUAAUACAUUUUUGUUUUAUUACAUUAAACUAGGCUUAGAAUGAGUCUAUUGAAAUAUUUUUCUUCCUUGUUGCUAUUAUUAGGAAAUUAAAAAAUAUAUAUUAUUCUGAAUGUAUUACUUUUUUGUUGUUGUUUUGUAAUACUCAAAUCAAAUAUCUAACCAAAACAAGAUGGUGACCUAAGAUUUGAUGUUUGAACUGAAGCGUGGGGAAACCGUAAAACUGCAUUUCUAUUUUCUACAUAUCAGAUAGUUUCACACAGCUACUUUUUGUUUGCAAGUUUAAGGCUAAUAAAAACAUGUACGUGUUUUCCUCUAUAUUGCAGUGACGGUUAAAAAAAAAGUCUGAAAGAUUUUUCUCCCGGUUGUCUCAGUGAUCUCUGCCUCAGUUCAUAUCCAGCUGUGGUUCUGCAUUGCAAUUCACAAUCUUUCAAGACUAAAGUGUUAAUGAGAUUUUAAAUGUCCUCAGGUUGGUGAACAAAGCUGAUACAACAGCAUGUUUCCAUGGAAAGACUUCCUUCAUCCAGAAGAUGAGGAACAAUAAUGGCUGCUGUUCACACUUUAGGCACUUUCCCAUCUUCAUGACCGUGAAGAGAUGGAAAGUUUGACGCCAGUUUGAAUGGGACGAUACGGCUGCAGGAGUUUGCUCAUCCACCAUCAUCAAAAGCUGAAGGCCUCAAAACUAAUGUCUGGCUGGCAGUUUAUUAAUAGAGAAACGAUCAGUUCAAUAUUUUCAGAUAUCGUCUUCAAAAGGACCUUUAUUCCACUCUAUCAAGGCUUCCACUGAAAUGAAAAUGGAAUGUUCCGUUGUUAGUAAGUGUGUGCGAAGACACAAAGUCUCUGGGAGCCUCAGUAUUAACCACAGGUCACAUGACCUCCACUGGAAAUCGCACGCCACGUCCAUCAGACACCCCCUGUCAGACUGCAGCUCACAAGCAAUCAGCUCCACUUGGAGUGGAUCCACCGCAGAGCCGACAGCAGCUAGUGUCAGGCUCCAUGUUUCAGAUGGAUUGGUAACAGAGGAGGGGGGGGUCGGUUGACAGGAGGGCACUGAACCAGAGGAGUCGUAACAGAGAAACACCGUGUGACAGCCAGACUCCUGAAGAGCAGAAAAAAUGGACGGAGGCGAUGGGACCCAGAGUUACAUAAAGAAGUGCUGCUCAGGAGGUUUGGCUUUUUGUGACGGCUUGAUGGAUGGUUGAACAUGGUGGAAAGGCUGUACAUGCGCAAGCUGCCAUUUUUCUGGGCUUUAAGCCAAAGCCGAGUGAGGAUGAUGCAGCCCAGGAAUCGGCUCAGAGGGAUCGUAAGUUCUUCAAAACCAACUUCACAAGGAAUCAAAGCGAUCAUUUCCAGUGAAUUAUUGAGACUGGGGCGUAACAGACAUUUUGGAACAAUUGCAAUGCAAAUUUGUCAGAAAAAUCAACCUAACUGGCUCUGCUAUAAAGACUAUCUGCUCACAAAGAGUAUGAUGCUGAUGAUGAUCCUUCAGUUUGGGAGAAAAUAUAUCAUAAGUCAAUUCAUGUAUCUUUCUAUUUAGUUGUCAGAUGCUGUAAAAUUGGACAAUUUGUGAGUGUCCCUGCAGCGCUACUUUACUUUUCCUUAGAGUGGCGCUGUGUGCAUGACAGAAACAACUUGCUAAAGAAUAAACACAUUUAGGAUCAAAGUUAAAGAACUGAAACCAAACCCUAGUUGAUUAUCAUGUUGCUUUUUUAUUUCUUUGAAGUCCUAAGUUCAAGGCGUCAUGCUUCUACUCUGACCGUGAGUAUGAACGUCAUGGAAAGCAUACACUUUUAAACUCAGUCCUGAUCUUCCAUCCCUAAAUCUUAGAGGGCCAAAUGUUGCAAUUCCACCAAAAAAAUGCAAGACGCAGGUUUCAGAAGGCAAGAAUUUCACAUUGACUCCCAUGUCCAAAAGUCCGAUUUUACACAAGUGUUUACGUUUCACUAGAGCUCAAAUUCAUGGAAAUCCACGGAAACCUGCUUUUGUAUCAAAACUCUGUAGUAGUUCCUAAAACCUCGACAUUUCUACUGAUGUCAGCUUGAUUACUGGAAGUGGUGGCUUGAACGCGGGAUGUCAAAGCCGGUGUGAACGUAGCAACACAUAACGAAGCAAAAGCAGCUUUUCCUGCGACAGAAUCCUUUGUGUUAACUGCAUAAAUGUUACGCAAGUUGAAAGAACGUCAACACUGUAGUGUUGUUAAAGGGUUAAGUCAAAAUA